AAAUUUACUCAUUGGAAAGCUGUUAUAUUCAAUGUUUGUAAGAAAUAAGCCAUAGAUUAGGAAUAACAAUUGUUAUGGUACUCUCUGUUGGGGAAAAAGAAUGAAGUUCUGUUUUCAGUUAUAACCCAUGAGUUCUUAAUAUGUGCACCAGGAGGUUUUAUACAUGAGGAAUUUUGAAUGAGUUUUUAAAAGUCAGUAAAGCACCUGUAAUCCCAGCUACUCGGGAGGCUGAGGCAGGAGAAUCACUUGAACCUAGUAGGCGGAGGUUGCAGUGAGCCGAGAUCGUGCCAUUGCACUCCAGCCUGGGCAACAGGGUGAGACUCCCUCUAAAAAAAAAAAAAAAAAAAAAAAAAUUAAUUAAUUAAUGAAAAAAUAAAAAAUAAAAAAAGAAGUCAGUAAAAAUGAAAGUGCAAGAUGUGAAUAAAAGAAAUGAAAUGAUGCUGAUUCAUUAAAAUAUUUAAUAAAGUAUGUCUUGCUAGUUCC
rnacentral:lncRNA from 1 species